rnacentral:rRNA from 1 species
AGCGAACGCUGGCGGCAGGCUUAACACAUGCAAGUCGAACGCCCGUAGCAAUACGGGAGUGGCAGACGGGUGAGUAACACGUGGGAACGUGCCCUUCAGUUCGGAACAACCCAGGGAAACUUGGGCUAAUACCGGAUACGUCCGUAAGGAGAAAGAUUUAUCGCUGAAGGAUCGGCCCGCGUCUGAUUAGCUAGUUGGUGAGGUAACGGCUCACCAAGGCGACGAUCAGUAGCUGGUCNGAGAGGACGAUCAGCCACACUGGGACUGAGACACGGCCCAGACUCCUACGGGAGGCAGCAGUGGGGAAUCUUGGACAAUGGGCGCAAGCCUGAUCCAGCCAUGCCGCGUGAGUGAUAAGGCCUUAGGGUUGUAAAGCUCUUUCGGUGGGGAAGAUAAUGACGGUACCCACAGAAGAAGCCCCGCUAACUUCGUGCCAGCAGCCGCAGUAAG